GACGAACGCUGGCGGCGUGCUUAACACAUGCAAGUCGAGCGGAAAGGCCACUUCGGUGGUACUCGAGCGGCGAACGGGUGAGUAACACGUGAGUAAUCUGCCCCUGGCUUUGGGAUAGCCACCGGAAACGGUGAUUAAUACCGGAUACGACCACUUCUCGCAUGGGAUGGUGGUGGAAAGUUUUUUCGGCCAGGGAUGUGCUCGCGGCCUAUCAGCUUGAUGGUGAGGUAAUGGCUCACCAUGGCGUCGACGGGUAGCCGGCCUGAGAGGGUGACCGGUCACCCUGGGACUGAGACACUGCCCAGACGCCUACGGGUGGCAGCAGUGGGGAAUAUUGGACAAUGGGCGGAAGCCUGAUCCAGCAACGCCGCGUGAGGGAUGACGUCCUUCGGGUUGUAAACCUCUUUCAGCAGGGACGAAGCGCAAGUGACGGUACCUGCAGAAGAAGCACCGGCCAACUACGUGCCAGCCGCCGCAGUAA
rnacentral:rRNA from 1 species